GUGGUAGUGUGAACAGGUUGUGUAAUGGAGGGUGUAAAUUGGACUACUCAGUGUGAACACAGAGUUUAAAGGUGAGCAAGCUAAACAUUUUUUGUCGAAGCCCCGAGAGAUGAAAAACAACGGACUUACCACCUGUUGCAAAACUCCAGUUGAUUAUGAGAGAAAAAAAGAGGAAUUUGUUGAAGAAUUGGAAAAAUUGAAUCAAGAACUUCUUUUACAAAUAAACAAAUAUGAAGUGAUCCAGCAAAUGGAAAACCUAAGUCUUACCGACAAGAAAGAAAACGAAACUCAACCAACAUGUGAUAAUCGUGCAAACAAUCUGCGACAAGAAGAUGUAGAUCGAGAGGUCCUACGUAUUUUGAGUCGCGUACCAUACGUUUGCAAUAAAUUCUUACGAUCAACACGCCAUCAAGUACGAAGAAACAAGCUGUCAGAUAAAAUUAAAAGAAAAACUCAAUGAUGAUUUUACCAUUUCUUGAGUUAUAUCAUCCAUAUUUAUAUUUUCACUAUUUAAAAUUUGUGAGUCAUAGUAUUAGUAUGUAAUACGCUAUAAUAUAUGUAAUAAUAUACUCAUUAAAUUGUUUAUUAAAUUUCUUCUUCCCUCUAA